rnacentral:rRNA from 1 species
GGUUGAUCCUGCCAGUAGUCAUAUGCUUGUCUCAAAGAUUAAGCCAUGCAUGUCUAAGUAUAAACGACUUUAUACUGUGAAACUGCGUACAGCUCAUUAAAUCAGUAAUUAUUUAUUUGAUGGUACCUUACUACAUGGAUAACCGUAGUAAUUCUAGAGCUAAUACAUGCGCAAAAUCCCGACUCACGAAGGGAUGUAUUUAUUAGAUACAAAACCGCCGCUGGGGCAACUCAGCGUUUUUGGUGAAUCAUAGUAACUGAUCGAAUCGCAUGGCCUCGUGCCGGCGAUAGUU